UACGUAGGGGGCGAGCGUUGUCCGGAUUUAUUGGGCGUAAAGAGCUCGUAGGCGGUCUGUCGCGUCGAUCGUGAAAACUUGGGGCUUAACCCUGAGCUUGCGGUCGAUACGGGCAUGACUGGAGUUCGGCAGGGGAGAAUGGAAUUCCCGGUGUAGCGGUGAAAUGCGCAGAUAUCGGGAGGAACACCGGUGGCGAAGGCGGUUCUCUGGGCCUUACCUGACGCUGAGGAGCGAAAGCGUGGGGAGCGAACAGGG
rnacentral:rRNA from 1 species